rnacentral:precursor_RNA from 14 species
ACGUGCAAAGUUACUCGAUUAGCCUUGGCCAGGUCUGGAUGAGUGCCAAUGUUGCGUAAAUGCUGAAUAUUGCACUCGUCCCGGCCUUUCUCUGGCUUUCUAAGCAACCACUGGAAGCA